rnacentral:tRNA from 1 species
GGGGGAAUAGCUCAAUGAUAGAGCACAUGCUUGGCAUGCACGAGGUCCUGGGUUCAAUCCCCAGCACCUCUG